AAAACUCGAAGACUAAAAAUAGAAUAACCUCAAAAUACAAAACGAGUCUAUUUUUUCUUUCAUUUUAAAAACACAGAAGUAGUUCUAAUGGAUUAUAGACUAAGAAAUAAAAGGAUAUUGUGAUUGGACCUAACAAUAUUUUCACAUUUUGUCCUUCAAAGAUUCAACUUCAUUUCUUUUUUACAAGACAGAGUAGAGUCUGGCAGUGUAAUAAGAGGCUGCUUUAAGAAAAGAGAGAAAGAAGAAAGAAAUAAAAAAGGAUGAAGGAAAGAAAGAUCAUCAGGAUUAAACAAUGUUGACUGACUUUCUGUCAUUCUCACUACUCCAGUUGCUGAGCAUUCAAAUACUAAAAGAAAACAUACCACUGUCUCUAGAGAUGCUGUGUCAACAAGAACUCCUUCCGCUGGCAUGAUACAAUAUCUGUUUAACUAAUCAGAGGGAAAUUUAUCACAGAGGAUUUGGUGGGGUUGUUUAUGGAGUCGUUAGCACAAUGGCACUCAACUCUCAGAUGUCAGUUGUGCUCCUCAGAAGAUGAAAUGCUGCAGCUGGUUGGGAAAUGAAUAAAUGCCAAAAUCUGAGUUACAAAAUAGAGGACUUAAUUUGAAAAAAAUUCUAUUGCUAGAAUUUUGAGGAUGUGUUGGUGGAUUUAUUUAAUUCAUUUAUUUGCUUAUUUUUUUUCAAAGUAAUGAGCAUGUGCUGAAGAUUUUAAAGAGGUGGUAUGCUGAAGUGUUCACUAAUCUUGAAAAGUUUGAUAGGAAUUUUGUCUACACCUUGCUGUAAGAGUAUCACACUUUGCUCUUGUUUCCAGCUAAUGAGCUCAUAAAGGAGCUUUUCAAACAUCAAAGGAAUGAAAUGAAUUCCUAGGAUAAUAUUCAGAUUGCCUAAAUUCUGCUUGAUGCUUUGUGCUUGUGGUCUAAUUGACUUUGGAAAGAAAGGAGUACAGUUCAUUGGCAAUGCAACUCUGUCAAGGAUAACACUUCUGCUUCUGUCCUGGCAUCCAAACUGUAUAUCCUUGACUACUGGCUCCUGAAAGAAAGAUUGGUCACCAAUACUGGGCAAAGUUGGCCUGUUCUAAAUCCUAGUUUGGCCCAGACGGACAAAUGGGAAGGAGAAAAUUACUCCUCUUGUAGAAAUCUCACUUCAAGAAAUGGCUCAUUGACUUCGGUCAAAAGCAUAUCAGGA
rnacentral:lncRNA from 1 species